GACACAGGGAGGUAGUGACAAGAAAUAACAAUACAGGGCUUAAAGUCUUGUAAUUGGAAUGAUGGGAAUCUAAACCCUUCCCAGAGUAUCAAUUGGAGGGCAAGUCUGGUGCCAGCAGCCGCGGUAAUUCCAGCUCCAAUAGCGUAUAUUAAAGUUGUUGCAGUUAAGAAGCUCGUAGUUGAAUUUCUGCCUUGUCAUUAAUCUCGCUUCCGAGCGUUUUUUUAUUGACUUGGCAUCUUCUGGAUUUGGUGCCUUCGGGUACUAUUUUCCAGGAUUUACUUUGAGAAAACUAGAGUGUUUCAAACAGGCAUUCGCCUUGAAUACUACAGCAUGGAAUAAUGAAGUAGGACUUUGGUUCUAUUUUGUUGGUUAUUGAGCCAGAGUAAUGGUUAAUAGGAGCAGUUGGG
rnacentral:rRNA from 1 species